rnacentral:lncRNA from 1 species
UCAAUGCCCAAAUUCGUGGAGGGUCUAUUCAAAGACAUACUUGAAGACGACACUGACCUGGGAAUUGAGAGAGCACACGGAGCUCUGGCCCCAAAACCCCCCAGCCGCGCCCCACCAAGAUCAAUAGUUAGUUGUACGGUUCCUAAAAUUCUCAGUCAAAGAAAAGUCUUACAUGCAAUCUGGAAAAAGCCUGUUAGCUUCCAAGGCCAACGAGUGUUCUUUGAUCAUGACUACGCGGGAGAGAUACUGAAAAGAAGGAAAGAAUACACCCCCAUUAAGAAAGCACUUAAAGAGAAGGGUAUAUGCUUCCAAACACCAUUGCCGGCAAAAAUGCGGGUAUUUCUGGAAAAUGGCCCGGUUACAUACGAGCAUGCAGACGAGGCGGCUGAGGAUCUGAAGUCGAGGGGCAUCCCAGUGGAGUAUACCGCCAGGAGAAAGGCCACAUCACCGGCGGAAAGACUCGAGCAGGCUCUCCCAUGGAUCGUUAUCGACAAGCAGAGUCAUGGAAAAAGAGGGAAACCACCUCGGCGAGAGGACGUUCACAUCCGAGAGAGACUCAGGCAUUUCCAUCGCGAAGAUGGAAGACACUGAAGAGGAUUUAACAGAAUGAAUAGUUACCGUGAGCUGUUAAGACGUUGGGUUGUAACGGUUGACAUUGCAAUAGGUAAAAUAUCUCUCCAAUUUUCCCCCAAUGCAGAACAAGGGUCAUGUUUGUGAUUACGUCACGCAUUUUCAUAACUGAGAGAGGGGUCCCUCCUGCGGACAGGCUCAUCCCCUCAAACUCCAGAGGCAAGAGACAGUCCUCUGACAUUGGAGUCCAAAUAUCUAAGUAUUUUCCCACUUUGGUUUACUUUAUUAUCGUUCUUGAUUUUUCGUUCAUUUUUAGGCUCAAGAUAAGCAGGCAGAUAUGGUGCACAGUUUUUAUUUAUUUAUAUCGAUGCAUCAUCGGGAAUUUAAGGUCAUAAGUCUCAAUGUAAACGGACUGGGGAGUGCCAUCAAGAGAAGUAAGGUAAUAGCAAAAAUGAAACGCGAGAGAGUUGACAUACUAUUCUGGCAGGAAACUCACUUAUCCACACCUGAACAAGAGAAACUCAAGAAAAUGGGAUAUAGGAAUACUUUUUUUUCUUCUUAGAAAAUUGGUGGAAGGGGAGUUGCAAUCUUGAUCCCAAAUUCAAUUAAUUUUGAGUUUGUCAGAAAUAAAAGACAAGGAGGGUAGAUUUAUACUUGUUAAAUGUAAACUGGAUAACAAGGAAGUUACAUUAUUUAAUGUAUACGCACCCCCAGGGAGUGACAUGGUCUUCUACGGGAUGGUGUUUGAUUUAAUUGCCACAAAAGCUCUGGCACUCUUAUCUGUGGAGGAGAUUUUAACACAAUUUUAAACUCAAAAUUGGACAGCACAAAUCAAAAUAGGAAAAUGAGUCUAGUUGCUAAAAAGAUCAAUAGGAUAUUGCAGGAUCUAGGAGUGCUCGAUGUAUGGCGUGACACCCACAAGACCGAUAAGGAAUAUAUUUUUUACUCAGCCCGCCACACUGAAUACUCCAGGUUAGACUAUUUUUUCAUGUACAGUGCAGAUAGACACAGGCUUAAGGAUUGUAGGAUCGGGCAGAGCGACUUAUCAGAUCAUAAUGGAUUUUACCUUACUCUACACCUUGAUAGCAAACCAAGAAAUACUCUAUGGAGACGUAAUACAAGCAUGCUGAAUGAUCCAGCAUUCAAGGAAUCAAUAAAGACAGAAUUGAACAUCUAUCUGGAGAAUAACGAUAACAGGGAAGUAUCUCCUGCUACAUUGUGGGAUGCAGCUAAGGUGGUUAUAAGAGGAAAGAUCAUAGCCACAUCAUCUCUCAAGAAAAAGAUUAAAGCACAGAAACUGCUGAAAUUACAGGAAACAUUAAGAAACUUAGAACGAUCUCAUAGUCAAUACAAAGAUCCUCUUAUAUUACGAGAGAUUCAAAAGGUAAAACAUGAAAUUGACCAGAUUUAUAGAGAAGAAGUUUAGAAAAAGCUCAGGUUCCUGAAACAACGAUAUUAUGAAGCAGGCUCAAAGGCAACCAAAUUACUAGCAUGGAGACUCAGGAAACAACAAACACAGAAUACCAUUUUCAAAAUAAAAGACCCCAUAACAAAGAAGAUCACAUGCAAAUUAGAUGAAAUACAGAAUGCAUUUGAAUCAUAUUACACAAAUCUGUACAAGCAACCAGAGAAGGCAGAUGCACAGACAAUAGAGCAUUUUUUGAACUCACUUGAUCUCCCCUCAAUUGGGACAGAGCAAAAUGAUAGACUAACUUUAGAAAUAUCCACCGAAGAAAUUAAUAAAGCAAUAUCUCAACUAAAAGUAAACAAGUCUCCAGGCACUGAUGGCUUCCCUGCAGAAUGAUUCAAGACCUUCAGAGAACAACUAACACCUCUACUUAAGGCCUGCUUUAAUUGAACUCUACGGGAGGGGGUCUCCCACCGUCAUGGAGAGGCCAUCAUAUCUGUAAUCCCAAAAGUGGGUAAAGAUCAGAAGGAAUGCAGUUCAUAUAGACCUAUCGCAAUUCUUAACACAUCUUAAAUUAUAUGCAUCAAUAAUAGCCAAAAGAAUGGAGAACAUAAUCCCAGAAUUGAUUGACGGAGAUCAAACUGGUUUCAUCCAAAAUAGGCAGACACAGGACAACAUAAGGAGAACACUACAUGUCAUGGACCACAUUACUCAGAAUAAGACAAGUGCAAUAUUAAUCAGUCUAGAUGCAGAAAAGGCAUUUGAUUCAGUGGGAUGGGAUUAUCUAUUCCAAGUUAUGGAAAGAUUUGGUUUCAAUAAAGAAGUGAUACAGGGCAUCAAAUCACUGUAUUCAUGUCUGACUGCUAGAAUAAAGAUAAAUGGACAUUUGUCACGAACGAUAAAAUUAGAGCGAGGGGCCAGACAAGGCUGUAAUCUUUCACUCACGCUCUUCUCCUUGUACCUCGAACCAUUAGCACAGGCAAUAAGACAGGACCCAACCUUAGAGGGAAUAACAAUAAGAGGCAGUGAACAUAAGAUAUGCAUGUAUGCUGAUGACGUUCUGUUAUUCCUUAAAGACCCAGGCUCAAGUGUACCUAGAUUGAAGGAAUGUUUUACAAACAUUUGGAACAUAUUCAUGGUAUGUGCUUAAUGUACACAAGACCCAAGCCCUAGUAUAUAAUUAUACCCCACAGGAAGAGCUGAAGAGUAGGUAUAACUUCCACUGGACUUCUUCAUCCAUUAAAUGUCUUGGAGUAUAUCUACCAAAAGAUACACCCAAACUGUAUUACAUGAAUUACGAUCACAUCAAAAGAAAAUAAAUGAUGACCUGUACAGUUGGAAUUCACUUCUCUUGGAUCUUAGUAGUAGAAUUGAAACAAUCAAAAUGAACAUCCUGCCGAGGUAAUUGUAUUUGUUCAAAUCACUGCCCAUAGAAAUCCCGCUUAAACAGUUUAGGGAAUGGGAUCAACAGAUAUCAAGGUUUAUCUGGAACAGUAAGAGACCAAGAAUUAGAUAUACAACAUUACAAUUACAAAAAAACAGUGGGGUAUGGCCUUACCAAACCUAAAAGAUUAUUUUGGGUCAGCCCAAUUGAGACCUCUGUUGGUGCAAUUCAGAAUACGAAUCCAAAUGGAAAGACAUUGAGACUAUUUUGACAGAGCUACCCAUACAGUCAGUUUUGGGAAAUAAGGACAUGGUAAUAGAAAUAUACAGUAGACAAGAUCAGUGGAUUAAUUUCUCUCUGAAGUCAUGGUUUAGGGUAGUUAAGCAAAAUAAAUUAGACAGAGAGAUCAAACUGCUGAGUUGGCCCGCAUACGACCACAGCUUCAUCCCUGCAACUCAGGACAGCAGAUUUAAACAAUGGACGAGAAAGGCAUUACAUCAUUCAGUACAAUUAUAAGGAAUGGGGACCUAGAUAACUUCCAGGACCUAAGUAAAAAACAUGGCUUGGAUAAACAAGAUUUUUACAGAUACCUACAAGUUCGACACUAUUUCUUAAGGGAGAUAAAAGUGAUUGACCCUCAAGCGCCUCCAAAAUUAAUCCAAGUAUUCACUAACGCAUACAACUUGGGG